AUACGGAGGGUGCAAGCGUUGUUCGGAAUCACUGGGCGUAAAGGGCGCGCAGGCGGUUUGGUAAGUCAGGUGUGAAAGCCCACGGCUCAACCGUGGAAGUGCAUUUGAAACUGCCAGACUUGAGUACCAGAGGGGAAAGUGGAAUUCCCGGUGUAGAGGUGAAAUUCGUAGAUAUCGGGAGGAAUACCGGUGGCGAAGGCGACUUUCUGGCUGGAUACUGACGCUGAGGCGCGAAAGCGUGGGGAGCAAACAGGAUUAGAAACCCUAGUAGUCC
rnacentral:rRNA from 1 species